GCAGGGGUAGUAUAUUUGGUUAGUACAUUCCUUUCAUAAUGGAAAAAAAUGGGUUCAAUUCCCGUCUCUUGCU